GGGUUUGUGGAAUAGGGAUCUAUAACUACCCCUGCUUGUAAAGCGUUAACAAUCAGUAAUUUUAGUCAAUAAAAUUCCAGCCAUUUAUGCUUUUUUUUCUUUGUCAUUUGAUGUAAUUUUAAUGCUCGAAUGUCUAAGGCUUUUUCGGUAGGAGUGAAUCCAAGAUCCCGCUGGCGCUAGGCUAAUAAUCUUGUUUUGUUUGCUUGAAUUUUCUUUGGUUAGUGAAGAAAGUCAUAUCCACCACUCACCCUUAAAUCCUAAUUUCUUGUUCUACAAACCAAGCCCUAAUCCCUAAAAGAAAUGAAAGUCUUCCCUAGUUAUCCUAGGUCGAUAAAUUUGAGUUCUUGAUGAACCUAAUUUCUGGUUCUACAAACCAAGCCCCAAUGUCUAAAAG
rnacentral:misc_RNA from 1 species